GGAAGUAAAUCGUAACAAGGUUUCCGUAGGUGAACCUGCGGAAGGAUCAUUAAAGAGUAAGGGUCUUCGGGCCCGAUCUCCAACCCUUUGUUUAACUACCAUGUUGCUUUGGCGGGCCCGUCUCACGACCGCCGGAAGUUUGGCUUCGACCAAACUUCUGGCCCGUGCCCGUCAGUGGCCCCUUCAAAUUCUUGAUCAAGUAUGAUGUCUUAGUUAAAAACUUAAUAGUUAAAACUUUCAACAACGGAUCUCUUGGUUCUG
rnacentral:misc_RNA from 1 species